rnacentral:rRNA from 1 species
GAGUUUGAUCCUGGCUCAGGAUGAACGCUGGCGGCGUGCCUAAUACAUGCAAGUCGAACGAAUCUUCUUCGGAAGAUGAGUGGCGAACGGGUGAGUAAUACAUAGGUAACCUGCCCCUGUGCGGGGGAUAACAGGAGGAAACUCCUGCUAAUACCGCAUAGCCAUGAGCACCGCAUGGAGCUCAUGCCAAAUAUCCUUUAUGGGAUAGCGCAGGGAUGGACCUAUGGCGCAUUAGCUGGUUGGCGGGGCAACGGCCCACCAAGGCAACGAUGCGUAGCCGGCCUGAGAGGGCGGACGGCCACAUUGGGACUGAGACACGGCCCAGACUCCUACGGGAGGCAGCAGUAGGGAAUUUUCGGCAAUGGGGGAAACCCUGACCGAGCAACGCCGCGUGAGCGAAGAAGGCCUUCGGGUCGUAAAGCUCUGUUGUAAAGGAAGAACGGCGCAUACAGGAAAUGGUAUGCGAGUGACGGUACUUUACCAGAAAGCCACGGCUAACUACGUGCCAGCAGCCGCGGUAAUACGUAGGUGGCGAGCGUUAUCCGGAAUCAUUGGGCGUAAAGAGGGAGCAGGCGGCCGCAAGGGUCUGUGGUGAAAGACCGAAGCUAAACUUCGGUAAGCCAUGGAAACCGGGCGGCUAGAGUGCGGAAGAGGAUCGUGGAAUUCCAUGUGUAGCGGUGAAAUGCGUAGAUAUAUGGAGGAACACCAGUGGCGAAGGCGACGGUCUGGGCCGCAACUGACGCUCAUUCCCGAAAGCGUGGGGAGCAAAUAGGAUUAGAUACCCUAGUAGUCCACGCCGUAAACGAUGGUCACUAAGUGUCGGGGGUCAAACCCCGGUGCUGCAGUCAACGCAAUAAGUGACCCGCCUGAGUAGUACGUUCGCAAGAAUGAAACUCAAAGGAAUUGACGGGGGCC